UGUUGAGCUAUGGCAUAGCAUUAAAACAAAAACUACUUUUGUUUGUACAAUCCAAAGACUGAAAAAGAUAAUUAGAGCCCCCCCUCCAUUCUUAGAUCAUCUUGUCCAGAUGAGGACAGCAGUGACCAGAGCUCUGGGGGAGGAAUUUAUUGCAUUUCUGUUAUCAGGGAAUGUGAAACUCGGUGGAGCCAAGAAGAUCGAUUUAUUGGGAAGGGGGUAGCAUGAAGUUCAGCCGAGCUGUAAAGUCAGAAGGAUACAGGUGGAAAAUACCUUUGGAA